rnacentral:lncRNA from 1 species
UUCUCUUCUUUUUCGAAAAAAUAACAAUUUAAGAAGGGGGCUUUUGCAUGUCCUAUUUUCUAACUCUCCUUUGGUCCCGAUCUAACUUAUAAGCUUUCGAAACCUGUUGUUGGUGUGAAAGAUAGAUUUGUGGUCAAAAGAAAACUUAAAUGUCUUUAUAGAUCUUUCCGACCCUUAAAAAAGAUGGAUAAUUGUGAUUUCCCACUAGUUAUCCUUUUUUUUUUUAAAUACUAAUAAGCUUAUGUAAACAAAAUUUAGAAAAGAGAAAUAAACUAGUAUAACUAACAUACCUCAUAUAUACCAUGAAAUUGAGUUCUUUAAUAGUGUUGAUAAAUUAUAUCUCAUGCAGGUUCGUACUUAAGCAUAAUCAAGUUGCCUAAAAUAGCCUUUUUUACAAAAGAAAUCAGCUAAUGGCUUCGUCACAGCAGUCCAUCUUUUCAGGGCUGAGAAGACUCACAAAGGUAUUUCAGCCUUCUUUUGGCCACCAUUGUGUGAUUCAUUAGCGCCAGGAAUCGAACCUAAGAUAAGUAUGACUUGAAUAAAAAUAAAACAAAUCGUAAGAUUUUGUUUAAAUUAAAUUAUUCGGUUGGUCUCCUAAGGUCUCGGGUUCCUUCGCCCAUGAGCGGUAGGUCUCGGGUUCGAGACUUGGGAGCAGCCUCUCCAUAAAUGGGGGUAAGGCUAGCCGACAUUCACCUCUCCCAGACCCUGCGUAAAGCGGGAGUCUUGUGCACUGGGUACGACCUUUGGUCUCCUAAGGUCUUCAUUUUAAGGACAUGUGAGGAUCAAAUGCAUAUUAGUCACAAAACUAUAUUAGUUUAGAUCCAAAAAACUUAAAAUAUUUGACAAUUUAAUAAAGCAAAACAUGAGUUUUCUAUUGGUUCAUGGAUUUUGAGUUAGUUUUGGUUUAUUAAGUUGUCAAAUAUUUUAAGCCUUUAGACCUAAACUUCCAGAAUUUUGUAGUUAAUAUGCAUUUGGUCUUCACGGGUUUUUAUCUUGAGGACCUUAAGAGAGUAGAACUGUAAGACUUGAAUUUCAGAGAAAAGGAAAUAAGAGUAAAGUACAAAUAGUAAGUGUUGUUGUAAGUCACUACAUUUAUGAUUUUAGAUGUACCGUUAUACACAACAACAAAAUGACUCCGAAUCAAACUAUAUGGCAACUGGAAGAGCUUUGAACCCUUUGCAUGUUUCCACAAGAGAUCUUCCAACCGUGUUGCUCACCCUUUUGGCUAGGGGUGGGUUCGGUUUAAAUCGGUUCGGUUUUUUGCCAAAACCGAAACCAAAUUGAAAUUUCGGUUCGGUUCAGUUCGGUUCAAUUUUUUUUCGGUUUUUUUCGGUUCGGUUUUUUUUCGGUUCAGUUUUUUUCCGGUUCGGUUUCGGUUUUUUUUUUUGUUUUUUUUCAAAAAAUGAAAAACAUUGAAAUUUUAAAUUUUAACAUAUCCAACACAAUCAUAACAUAAACAUUCUAACUAGAAUCAAAGACAAUGAAAAUAAACAUUUAAAGUUGAACUAAAAUCAUCAAUCAAGUCUUUCAAAGUCCAAACUAACAACCUCACAACACAAAAUCACACAAAAAUCGUACAAAUGACUUAAAAAAGUAAAAUUGUAUGAUGUUGUUCAAAGAUCAGUUGUUUGCUUGUAACUGCAUGUUGACAACUUGAUUAGUAAAGGUAAUGCGUGGGUGGAUUUAUUUAGUGUGUGUUGGAUUCUUUUCCAUCACAAAUUACCCAAGUAAUCUACCCGAAAUAAAUGUUUAUGGAUUAUGUUACAUGUUAUAUGAGAGUAGAUUUGGAAAAGAAAGCUGGCGCAGAAGUAGACACUGCUAUGGAGAUGGAUGUAGGUACUUCGGGAAGAGGUUUGGUUCCGGAACCUUAUAUGGGGGAGAAAUAAUAGGUUAGGGUUUAGAGUUUUUAUAGGCAUUUUUUUAAUAUUUUGAGCUUAAAGUUUGGCAACACAUUGGGUUAGCACAUUUUAACUUACAAAUUGGGUUUAGAAAAUAAUACCCAAAACAAAUAAUUAAAUAAAAAAAUUAAUUUAAUUAAUUCGGUUCGGUUCGGUUUGAUUCGGUUUCUAAAUCACUAAAACCGAACCAAACCAAAAGAAUUCGGUUCGGUUCGGUUUUUUCAAUUCGGUUCGGUUUUUUCGUUCGGUUCGGUUUUUUCGUUCGGUUCGGUUUUUUCGGUUUCGGUUAGGUUUGGUUUUCGGUUUUCGGUUUUCGGUUUUUUGAACCCACCCCUACUUUUGGCUAAGUGUUCUUCCUUCAUUAUCUUGUUCUUUAUGUACCGCCAUAGUUACUUCCUCUCUAAGAAAGUGGUGUAAAAUCUUCUUAUUGUUUGGAUCAAUGUGCGAAGGGACUUGGACCUUCGAAGGAAAGGUACUACUAGACUAAUAGCCAGUGGGUGAUGUAAAUUAUUUUUAUAAUGAAUAAGAUCCCUCUCGGGCAUAAAUGAAAGACAACAAUGGAGUUUCUUCAGCAUUCAUAGCGGACUUCAGAUAAUUGUAUCAUUACGUUAAAAAGGAAAGAUAGUAAUAAGUUGCUUCUGCAUUUUCCAUAGCGGGCCCUUCCGACAAACUAUUAGCUUAUUGGUCAAGAGUCCUUCAGAUAAUUGUGCCGUUACGUAAAAAGAGAGCAAUGAAUUGCUCACGCAUUUGGCGCAGUCGACGUCUCUGAAAGGCUAUUAUCUUAUUGCUAAGUGUCUCUCAAAUAAUUGUCUUGUUGUUAUUGACCUAUGAGGGCUCUCGGCCACAUAGAUAGCUCAACGUGUCAUCAACGCUCAACCUUGAGAUGUGGAUCGUCCAAGCCGCAUUAGGUUAUAAAAAAAAUAAAAAAAAAUUAAGUGCAACAUAGCUAAAAUAAUGGUUGGUUCCUUUUGACAUGUAUAAUAAAGCAGAAGUGAUUUUCGCACUCUUUUUCUCAUUGUGCACAUCCGUGUUUAGUUUUAACUUCUAGAUUGAAUCUAUCAAAAGAGAAUUAACAGACAGAAACAAAUAGAGGUGCGCUAAGGAUGAAAAUAAGUGUGCAGAGAAAUUUUUUUGAAGUGAAUGUGAACAAAAAAUGAAGUGACUUACUUAAAAAUGAAAAUAAACUUUUUUUUAACACGUAUCAAGAUUGUGAUUUACCUAUAAUGAUAAAAGAAAAACAUCUUGUUACAUGUAAGAGUAAGGUAUUUUCUUCUUAAAUAUAUGUCUACCAAGUACCAACCAACACUAAAUGAGCAAAACAAAGGAAGCUGGAAAACUGGAAAAGCAAGGCAUGCCUUUCAAACCAAAGGUCAGAUCAUAUUCAUUUAGUAGCACUACAAGUGCAGUCUGGCAUUAAAUCCUUGGGAGUAGUAACGAAGGAGAAGGUAAAGACAAUUAAUUCACAUGAAACUAACUGGUGUAAUGGAGCAACGGGUGAAUAUGGUCUUUCUCUUUAACUCACUGUAUCCUGAGUUCAAACUUUCCCGCUCUUUACAGUAUAGCUUAGAAUAAUAUUAUCGUUGGCAAUAAAAUGCAAAAAAAAGAAAAGAAAAAAAGGACUGGAGUAAUGGCAUAGCUUUCCACGUUUCCCUUCAUGCAGUAGAAAUUAAAGACAAACCUGCUGGCCUUGGCCUCUUCUGUGCCUUCCUCAUGUAACCUCCAAUUCUGUGCUAGCUAGCUAGACAUCACCACAGAAGAGCUACCUUUUAUACCCGUUGGGUUUUAUUGCGUUUCUGCAUUUGCUUUUGCUUUGCCUUCUCUCUUCUGAAAAGAAGAAGGGAAAAAUGGUUGGUUUUGGCUGUGGUGGUGAUGAUGAACAGGAUUUUCAAGGAUCUUCACCGACUCCUACCGUCACGCAUAGCAGUGAUAGCGUUGUUGUGGAGGGUGAGGAGGCGGCAGCAGUGGCGGAGGAGGAGGAGGAGGUUGAUCGCGAAACGUGUGAUCUUCAGCUGCCUCAAGACCGAGUUCUGGCUGCGAAGCUCAGACCCCGCCUUCGAUGGACUCCUGAGCUUCAUGCCUGCUUUGUUGAUGCUGUCAAUCAGCUUGGAGGCCUUCAUAGUGAGUACCCUUCUCCUUCUUCCUUGGCUUUGAGAUUUUUCGCAUGUUUUCGGAUUUCGGUUAUCUGAUUUUAUCACGCGUUUCAUCUUGCAGAGGCAACUCCGAAGAAAAUCCAGGAGGCAAUGGGUGUCCAGGGGAUAACUCUUUUCCACUUGAAGAGCCACCUCCAGGUCUGUUUCAUCAAUGCAUGAUUCAUUGAUGGUUGAGGAAAAAUUCUCGAAAAAUAUUCACAUACAAAACCGGUUACAAACUCUUAAUAAAAAAAAUAGAAUUAGAUGAGCAUUAAACUAAGACAUAUGUAAGCAAAUGGCACUUUACGAGACUAGCAGAAAGCAAUCAUGCCUAUGCACCCUAGUGCAAGUUCAACCCCUCCGGAUCCCCUUCCCCUACCAACUAACAAUUUGACCAACAAAUGCUAUCAUUUGUGCAGAAAAAAAAAACACAAUAUGACAUGUAAAUUGACAAAGAAAACCCACAAAUUUCUCCCAAAUAUGGCCUCAAAUUUAUAGUGUUUUAGUGGCAGAUUAGAUUGAAAAGUUUUCACUAGUUUAUUAAAAAAAAAUAAUACAUUAAGGUACUGAAUUAGGAAGGCCUCAUUGCACUUUCGCCCUUGGCCUCAUUGCAUUUUCGCCCUUGGCCUCAUUGCAUGUUCGUCUUACGCUUCAGUUUGCACUGAAACAGUUUUGUUAGUGUUCCUCGUAUGUAAAAGUUUGUAACCAGUUUUGUUUGCGUAUAUUUACCGAAGUUCUAUUGUUAAGUGCUAAUAGUACCAUAUAACUUUUCAAAUUUCACUCAAAGUUAUUGACGUGGUAAUCAUUUUUGCAGAAAUACAGACUUGGAAGGCACGGGGUGAAGGAAUGGAGGGAGGGGACUCAAACCUGUAUGUUCUUUUGCAAAAACUUGCUGCAGUAAAAAUAUACCAGUAACAACGUCCUUUACUAAACAGUUGAUAUAGUGAUGAAAUUAACUUGCGAGUUGUGAAAGAAGUUUCAUGUUUGAGUUGCUACAUUUAGAUUUUCACUGCCACUAAAUAAAAGAGAACUCAGUUUCACAGGACUCGGAAGAAGGCCGAAGCACCAGUAGUACUUCCUCUCCCUCGCCCAAGCUAUCCCGGAAAAAGUAUGAUUUGCACUGCUCCUCAAUCUUCUAUAUGAAUGUACUUGUUAACUUAUUCCAAAAGGUAGUUGUUUUCGCACUCUCAAUUUUAGCUUAUGCAUUUCUGUCGCUUGAUUCUCCUUUGAUUAUCCAAUCCGAAAGGUGGAAACAAGAGGAUGAGUGCGGAAAUAGAAAAUGAGAGUGCGGAAAAUCAUUACCCUCUUCAGAAAUUACCAUUACAAAGGUUGCGUUUUCAAGUGCAUUAUCUUGUAAAUGCUGUGAUGUUUUAUGUUUUGGGUUGUGGCUCCAUGCAUAGGCACUCUUAUAAACUAGUGAAGGAAGCUCUAGAUGAAGAAAGAGAUAGUAUGCAAGUUGAGGCAAGUUUUCGAGUUCGGAAACUAAUUUGGGAACUUUAAGUUGAUAAAUGUAAACCUACUUCUCUAUUCAUGAUACACAACUUUGCAGGUUGGGAGGCGAUUGCAUAUCCGUCAGGAUGCUGAGCGGAGAUUCAUGAAUUUCGCGAUGGAGAAUGCAUGUAAGAAGCUUGCUGAUCAGUUUAUUGGUGCUGCGACAGCCGCAGCCAUACUUAACGGCAUUGCAGGUGUAGGAACUUUGGAACUAUACCCUGCAUAUCAGAUGACAGAGGGAACGGGUAUGCAGCCUAGUCUUGAAGGCCACACGACCUCUCACGGGCAUUCGGAGAAUUCAUCUGUCGAAGAUUUCCAUACUCGUGCCGAAGAUGACGAGAAAACGGAGGAGAGCUUGGACAAUGACCCUGCAGAAGCUUACCUGAUCAACCCGGAUCCAGAUAUGGAGUGAUAUGGCACUCUGGAUGAAGGAACAAAAUCACCCUUGUGUUGUUUCCUUGUGGAGUUUCAUAAGUUAAGAUUUACCCUUUGCCUUUUGGUGUAAAAUUUUGCCAGCCUAUGUUUGCUGAAUUGGCAAGUUUCACUUACCAAUGAACAGUAAAACAGUAAGAAUUUUGAGUAAUUAAACGUCUGUUUGAUAACCAAUUCAGUUUUCGAGAAAACUAAAAACUGAAACAUGUUCAGAUAACCAAUUCAGUUUUUGAGAAAACUAAAAACUGAAACAUGUUCAGGUAAUCGUACUCCUUUUUCAAUUUUCUGAAAACUAAAAAUAAAUGAUUCUCAAACGCUCCUAAGCUUCAGCUUAAACAAAGUUAAACAGUUUAACUGAACUGAAUCCUAUGUAUCGACUUACCAGCAAAAAAAAUCAAGCUUUUGAGAAUUAAAAGAAUUAUCCAAUUUACCUUUCCUUUCAAAUACGAAAUAGAAGAGAAUACAAGGAUUGAAGGUCCACGAAUUACAAUUUCUAACACAAACAAUAUGAUAUAAAGUAAAAGCGCAACACUAGUGAAGCAGUAAAGCAAAAUGGGGAUGAGGGGUAAACGGAGAACUGCCGCUGGUGACGUCGCAAACGAGGACAGCACGCAGAAAACAAAGGUCUUCAUGCACUAUCAUCGGAGAGCCGCAAGAGAUACCGCAACACCAUCAGCUUUCGGAUGCAACCAAGUGUAAAGGCUAAAAUGAUUUAACAAAAGCACUUCUUCCUCCUACAUAUAGCAGCCUCACAUUUCCCAACUGUUUGAAUACAAUGCCAGCCAACACUUUUCUAGUCGAUCUUUACGGAUGAGAAGAGGUAAUGAACAAAGUAGAAAGACAUGAGAAAGCCAAUGGUGCCAGUUGACAACAUGAUUGCAGUUGCCAUGAUCAAUGAAUAACCGAGGUAAAGGAUAGCCGACACAGGCCCGCUCAAACUCUGCAGGUCAAAUACCAGGUAAUUGAUGGAGUACAGGAACACGUAAAGGGAAACUGAACCUGAGGCAAAGAAAGCCUUCCACCACCACCUCCAAUCCUCCACACAAAGAUGCAUGUAUGUGAGAACUACUGAAACUUCAGCACAAACAAUAACCAACAACAUAAGCACUAUAAAAAGGAAACCGAAGACAUAAUAAAAUCUUCCAAGCCAGAUGCUAGAAAGGAUGAAGAAGAGUUCAAUGAAAAGGGUUCCAAACGGAAGUGUCCCAGCACCAAGAACAAGAAGCCAUGAUGGAUAUUUGCGCGCAGGAAUCUCCCUUGGAAUCUGGUUGGUUCUCACGGGAUAUGAAAUUGGCUCAGCUCGUGCGCCUAAGAAUCCUCCGAGAAGGGUGAGAGGAACGGAAAUGCAGAACCAGAGGGAGAUGAGUAUAAAAUACAAAGAAAUGGGAAGAGCACCAGUACUCUUGCUGCCCCAUAGAAUGAAAUUCAGUAUUGUAAGAAUCACAAAGACGAUUCCAGGAAAGAAACAUGCCACAAACCAGGAAACCGAUCUCCACCCUUCAGAAGUUCCCUUUAUGGUUCUCCACAUACGGACAGCAACAUAACCAGCAAUAAUCCCAAGGAAGAGAUAUAGAAUGAUCAUUCCUGUCAGUAGCAUUCCUCGUGAAGCUGGUGACAUGAAACCAAAUGCUGCAAAGAUGAUAGUGACAACUGCCAUCCCAGUAAUCUGAACUCCAUCCCCAACCAUCACGCAAAGAAGCUUUGGAGAAUCUGGUUCUCUGAACACAUCUCCCACAACAAGCUUCCACCCAGAGAGCUCCUCAUUCAUCUGAGCUUGAGAUUCUUUGUCGAGUUCUUCGUAUCUUGUUAAAUCCCUCCUCACCGUCCUUAGGAAUAUGACAAAAACUAUACCAGCUAGGAAAAAGAUCACCAUUAAUGAAUUCAGAAUAGAGAACCAGUGCACACGAGCACCCUCCAUCUUCAGAUAAGCAUCCCACCUUGAUGGCCAUCUUGUAUCACUUUUCACAAACUCAACCUCAUAAGUAAAUGAUACUUUCUCUUGCUGCCUUAUUAUUUGAGCCUUUUCGAGCUCUGCGGGGCAACUUACAGGUUUGAUAUUUUCAUACAUAGCUUUUUUCUUCAUGGCCUCUGGGUCGUAUUUAAUGCUACAAGGGUAAACCUCAAAGCCAACAAUCUCAAACCCAGAUGCCUUCUUCUUAUCAGCUUCCGAAAUGACACCCAUGCCUUCUUCCCCAGUCCCAAUUAUCUGCACACCACUCCCUUCAUACUCGUGAAUCAUAACCCUGAACUUGAGGUGAUUGAUGAUGUAAUCUUCUUUACUGUUAGGUGAUGUGUACCCAACAGGAAACCCAGUCCACUGAAUCUUAACCCCAUUUUGAUAAGCAUAUCUCAUUGCGGGCAAAUUAUCAAGGAUCAUAUUUACCUGAUACAGAUCACGGGUUCUCUGUUUCAGCAGCUUUACGUCGUGCUCGGUCAAAGAAUCUGUGGUACACAGGUAACGAGUCUCAUUCACGUUCAUGUUAAAGCGGUAUGCAGAGUUCUCGAUCUCAUCUCCCAUAAGAAGUUCCCCGAGAUUCUCAGCACUUUUCUUGAUGCCUUCAGGGGGUUUGCAAUAAGGGAGACUGUAGUAGCUGAAGGGCAGCUCAGUCUCUAUAGAAGUCAAGGAGUUAACUUUUGUAGUGAUUUCUUGCCCCUUCGCAUAUGUAUGCAUGUAGCUUCCGGGGAGAUAAAACCCAUUACAGGUGUGCACAAAAACAACCAAAACGAGCAGAGCCCAUUUGAUUGAGAGCAUUCCCGGAUUCAAUAUCGCCAUCAGAACCCAAAAAAACACAACACUCACCACAAGUUGGAGUGAGCAGUGGAUCUAAGCUAAGUCUUACAGAUGCAUUCACCGAUUAAUCUACACAAAUUCAAACAAAAAGAAUAUUAAUAUCAGCCAAAAGAACACAACGACUAUAAGUUUAAGCUAAAAACACAAAAUUAAACCUUUGGGUUAACAAAAUCGAUCAAGUACUUGUUAAUUGUUCAAUUUCUACACUCAAACCGCAUCAGAUCCGCUAAUUAACAGAGCAUAACCAUUCAAAUACUCACUCAAUCAGAUCUAACAACCAGUAAUAUAAUAAAAAACGAAUACCCAGAUCCAAAAAAUUUAAAUUACAAUAAAAAUCAAAUCAUGCGUUACGCAAAUGCAACAGAUCCAUGAAAAAUUUGAGAAAUUGAGAACGAACCGUGACAGAUCUGGAACCGACACGGAUGAGCGGCCGUGGUGCGCGAGAGCGAAGCAGAAUCCCGGCGUCCCCUUUCGCUUAAUAUUAUUCUGCUGACAUUAUCGCGAACAAGCUCAGAGGGGGUGAGGUGAGGGAACUAACUGCUUUGUUAAAAAAAAAUUGGUGCGAUUGGAGAUGGGGAAUUUGUUCUCUACGCACUCAAGUCAUACGGUUAUAUAGGGCCCCAUCCCACUGUUGAAACAAAGUUCGAUUGGACCUUGCAUUGGAUGGGCGGUUUUCAUUUGUUUUUCCUUCCUACAAACUUACAAUGUUACAGAUAAAACUGAUUUUUGAAAAUAUGUACAAAUAAAUCGUAUUUGCCGAGUCUGAUAGCGUGUGUUUGUAACUAAGUAGUACAUUAAAGUGAUUGAUUACAUGAUGAAUGAGUAAAGUUGGUGAGUAAUUUAUUAUCAUGUUGACAUCAAAUUAAGUUCGUUGUAAGCCCUCAAGUUAGUCGAGGGCAUAUGUCGACUGGUAAAUAGUAAAUCACCUUGUGAAAUCACAAAUAGAUCAUAGGACAAUUAGCAUGAAGGAACAUUUUUUGAUAUUUGGAUUUGGUUGCAGAAAUCAAUUGUCGUCACGUCAUUAUUGUGUGGUCGUUAGAUUAUCAAUAUGUCGUCGUUAUUAAAAACUGAUCAUUUCUGUAAUCAAAUGUUAAAAAGUGAUCAUUCUUGCUAAUUGCCCUAGAUCAUAAUUAGAUUUGACAUAUCACUUAAACAACAAAACUUCUCAAUAUGUUAUUUCAAAUUGAAAUUUGAUGUUUGGAUUUUGGAUUUUGACAUAUAUCUCUUUGAAAAUCGCUCUUUGAUAAAAAAAAAUUAAAAAAAAUUAAAAAAAACAAAUAUAAUUAGUUAUUGACAUUUUACCAAAAAUUUAUGCACUGACUAUAAGUAACGACAUUCUCUAUUCAAGAGUAAAACCUUCUAUGCGUAUGAGAAUUAUUUUUUCAGCAAGCUGCAAUUACAUCGAUGAUAUAUACACAAGUGGUUUAGCUACUUUCAACUCUUUAGUAUCUUGUUAACCAUCAUCAAAAUUGUACAUUGUGUACUCACUUUUCAUCUGACUUAAACAACUCAGCAACUAACCGUCUUGUCUUAUACCUAACUAAAGGUUACUUAUCUCGCCCAAGAAAUGGCAACAAUUGAGAUUAAAAUAGUGAACGGAUGUGUAACGCGUGAGAAUCUGCACAGAUAAACUGAUUGUGAUUUGAGAACCUUUCCGUUUGAUCAUUAUUAUGCUUUAUGGUAACGAAACUGCAUUGUUAUCAUCAUUAUUAUGUGUUUUGUUGGUUAGCAAUUUUGUAAGUAAAAUCCUCAUCAAGGUUUGUGGCUGUAAAACUUCAACCUUUAUCAUUAUGGUGGUGAUUAUAUAGCAAUAUUUUCAAUAACGUUGCAAUCACUGUAUUUGGUAGGAAUGUAUAAACAUGGAUCUACUUUUUUCUACAUCCGAAACACAUUUGGAAGUAAAGGUUAGAAACUUAAGCUUCAAGCCAAGAUGUGUCAAAUACAAUCUUUAUGUCCUUUCUAAUACUAUCUUUAGCUAAUUCACGAUACCAACUGUGUUUUUGUCUUGAUCUCGACCAGUUUCAUGAAAAACAAGCUCGCAUUUACCUCAUAAGAAUGAAUUAUAUAAAACGAAUUUACCAUUACAUAACGUCUUUUCCAAUAAUACAAUGUCAUUUUAAAAAAUUGACACAUGUAAUUAAUUUUUAUUAGAACAAGACAUCACGGUGGCGAUGAAUCCGUUCCGCGUAAGUUGUUCUUCAAGCUCAAUUGUAGAUAGCAAGGCUCUUAACCUUGUAGUAGUGGGUUUGUGCUAUCCGGUAGCAGUUUUGGUUACUUUAUAAAUACAAAAUUAUUUGUUAGUAAAUUCGAAUAUGAAUAAGCAACGAAAGUUUGAAUAAACGUUUUAAAUGAAACAAAGUUCUCAAACUUACAACAAAAAAAUAUCUAUUAGUUACAUGCAUUAAAUAUCGUUGUAAAUGAGGAAUUUUUUUUAUGAAACUGUCAUAUGGCGUUACAAGCCGAUUCAUAUUUGUAGCACUUGCUUUAUUUAUUAAUUAUGUUUUGUGAAAGAGAAAUUCCAAGGAAACGUUCUUAAAGUGUGACUUUUUCUGAACUCUUUGCCGCAAUUUAACAUUAAUUCUUGUGCCAAUAAUAUAAAGUAUUAUGCAAAAAAUAUAAGGUGUUAGAGAGUUCAUCGAGAAUCCUAAUUUUGAACAAAUUUCCUUAACAUUUCUCUUUGUAAAAUAUAAUUCAUCGAUUAUCUAUACCAUAACACGUGAAACAACGAACUUAACUAAGAACAAAUGCAUGUAUGCACCAUACGUCAACUAUGAAGUCUAGCAACAUUACUUAGGGUUCUAAUAUAGCUCUUUUAACAUGUCAUUUCUCACAGAGUCACAGACAACCAUAACAAACAACAAACAAAGGCCAAAUUAUAUUAAUUGUACAAACGUUACUUAAUGGAACUUGAGGCUGGUCAAGAUGUUGUUGUGAACUGGGUCAGCCAAAUGAUCCAGAAGGUUCUGGUAAGGCCCCACACCAGUCACAAGACCCUGAAUAAAAUAACCCAAUAUUGCCAGCAUGGCAAGCCUCCCAUUCUUCACUUCCUUGAGCUUUAACUCGUUCAACGACUUUUCAUCUUUCCCAAACCCUAGCGGGUUGAACAAGGGCCCACCAGGGUAAGCCGGGUUCCCGGACCCACCCAAGUACUUCUCAAACCCCAAGAAGUAUUGCUUGCCCAUGGACCCGGGGUUGUACCAGUCCUGGAACCUCCGGUGCUCGGCGAACCCCAUUAGGGCAAGUUCAAAGACAAAGAGCGUGUAAGGGUCGGCCCAGUAGUUGUAGGUCCCGGCUGGCGGGAUGACCCCUGUUUGAAACCAGGGCAGGGCAGUCUCGGGCGGGAUUAGGCCGAGCUUGCCCAAGAUUUCUGGGGCAAUUGCACCCACUGCACCAAGCAUGGCGUAACGUCCGUUGAUGACUUCACCGUAGGCUAGCCAUCUGGGCUCGAUGAACCCACCUGUGCCUUCUGGGUCUGAGAGGCCCAAUGGAUCGAAUCCAUAGUCGCCGGGUAGGCUGCAUGUCAAAUUUAACCAUUUCCAAAUUAAUCUCUUUUAUUAUGUGACAAGGUCAAACAAUGAAAGACAAACACAAUUUUCUUUUCUGGUUUUUGAAAAAAUGGAAUUUCAUCACGGCAGUCCACUCUUAUGUGACUAAAAAGACUACAUUUUAGCCUUUUUUGCCUCUAUCAUGUGAUUCACUGUAAUUAAGAAUCGAACUCAGAACGUGAUGUAUGAAAAACAAACACAAUUUAAUUGUCAUUCCUAGUCAUCUUGUACUUCUCAUCCGAGCCAAAUUUAAAACCUAGUUCCGCCAAUGUAAGUAACGCUACAUAACCGUAUUGCAAUCACACUGAAAAGAACAAUCACAAAUCGUUACCUGCCAUCCAAGUAAGUAAGGCUCUGCUUGGAAGCAAACCACAACUGUCUGUCCGCUCCUUGCUGAAAUCAAAUCAAACAAACCACAAAAUCAUAAACAAAGAACGUCAGUUGUGUUACCCUAACCGAAAUCAAAUCAUAACACCACGUGACAGUAUUAUAAUCAUACCAAAAAAUCACAUUCGCGUACCUUAACAGGAGGAGUAGAGGCCGCCCUUACGACAAAGGAAGCAGAUUUUCUCGACCCAAAUGGAGAUUGGACGGCCUUUGCUCCUCCAAAUAUCUGCCUGGCAACCUCCUUUGAG